UACGAAGGACCCAAGCGUUAUCCGGAUUUAUUGGGUUUAAAGGGUGCGUAGGCGGCUUAUUAAGUCAGUGGUGAAAGCCUGAAGCUCAACUUCAGAAUUGCCAUUGAUACUGAUGAGCUUGAGUAUAGUUGAGGUGGGCGGAAUGUGUCAUGUAGCGGUGAAAUGCUUAGAUAUGACACAGAACACCGAUUGCGAAGGCA
rnacentral:rRNA from 1 species